CGCUUGGAAGCAAACGGAAGAAGCUGCCAGAAGCGUGCAGAAUUCAACUUGUGCUUGCGGCGUCUUGUGCUUGACUGAUCCUUGACGGGAUGGUGCAAGUUCGCUGUUGCAGGAGUGCACUUUCUGUACGUGUGCGCCACGACCGUUUAGCACGCCGGCUAAAGGAUGGUUGAUUGCCGACUGCGUUCGCGCAGAACCCCGUCAGCCAUUCCAGUCCUGGUUGUGUUGAACGAGAAACCACCGCACCCGCCUGUCUCGAGGCGUUCUGUUUGGGAUGUGGUCGGAAUUUUGUAGCUUGCUUGCAAGUUGCGGAGACCCCCACGCUCCAGAGCAGUGCGUUCUUGAGUGGUGCCAAUGGUCAGUGGCGUCCGUGUCAGCGUCUCUUCUGACCCGUCUUGAAACACGGACCAAGGAGUCUAGCAUGUGCGCAAGUCAUUGGGUGGUAAACUCAACGGCGCAAUGAAAGUAAAGGUCAACUCUGUUGACUGAGGUAGGAUCACUGGCCUCGGCUGGUGCGCACUACCGUCCCGUUCCAUCUACUUUGUUAGAGGGGCGGAGACAGAGCGUACACGCUAGGACCCGAAAGAUGGUGAACUAUGCCUGAGCAGGACGAAGUCAGAGGAAACUCUGAUGGAAGUCCGUAGCGGUUCUGACGUGCAAAUCG
rnacentral:rRNA from 1 species